UACGGGGGGGGCAAGCGUUGUUCGGAAUUACUGGGCGUAAAGGGCUCGUAGGCGGCCAACUAAGUCGGAUGUGAAAUCCCCAGGCUUAACCUGGGAACUGCAUCCGAUACUGGAUGGCUUGAAUUCGGGAGAGGGAUGCAGAAUUCCAGGUGUAGCGGUGAAAUGCGUAGAUAUCUGGAGGAACACCGGUGGCGAAGGCGGCAUCCUGGACCAUGACUGACGCUGAGGAGCGAAAGCCAGGGGAGCAAACGGG
rnacentral:rRNA from 1 species